AUACGGAGGGUGCAAGCGUUGUUCGGAUUCACUGGGCGUAAAGGGCGUGUAGGCGGGAAUGCAAGCUGGAGGUGAAAGCCCCGGGCUCAACUCGGGAAUUGCUUCCAGAACUGCAUUUCUAGAGAGAGUCAGAGGCAGGUGGAAUUCCUGGUGUAGAGGUGAAAUUCGUAGAGAUCAGGAGGAACACCGGCGGCGAAGGCGGCCUGCUGGGGCUCAUCUGACGCUGAGGCGCGAAAGCGUGGGGAGCAAACAGGAUUAGAUACCCCGGUAGUCC
rnacentral:rRNA from 1 species